GAUGAACGCUGGCGGCGUGCCUAACACAUGCAAGUCGAACGGGUCAUGUAGCAAUAUAUGGCUAGUGGCAAACGGGUGAGUAACACGUGGGUGACCUGCCUCAGAGUGGGGAACAACAGACCGAAAGGUUUGCUAAUACCGCAUACGCUCGGUAAUUCAAUUGAUCGAGUAAAGGUGCAAAUCGCUUUGAGAGGGGCCCGCGGCCCAUCAGGUAGUUGGUGAGGUAAAAGCCCACCAAGCCGAUGACUGGUAGCUGUUCUGAGAGGAAGACCAGCCACAAUGGAACUGAGAUACGGUCCAUACUCCUACGGGAGGCAGCAGUGGGGAAUAUUGCGCAAUGGAGGAAACUCUGACGCAGCGACGCCGCGUGAGCGAUGAAGGCCUUCGGGUCGUAAAGCUCUUUUGGCAGGGACGAGUGAGGACGGUACCUGUUGAAUAAGUCUCGGCUAACUACGUGCCAGCAGCCGCGGUAACAC
rnacentral:rRNA from 1 species